ACUCCUAAAGUGGGAUGGAAAGACCAUACGAUAUGCAGAUACCCUAAUGGCUACAUUCGGUCAAACUCCAGACGUCCAUUUCUACCGCUGCCGUCAAUGCAAUACCCACCUUGUCUUGACCAAAAAUUUUAUGCGUAACUUCACAGACGUAAUGAUUGAUGAUCCGGGCAUCUUUGCAAAUGUGUAAGUUAAUCAUCAUUAAUACAAUCAUCAUUAAUACAAUUCUAUGAAACUUCAACCAAAGCACGACUUAGUUUCCAGGAUAUGAUCUCUCUCUCUCUCUCUCUUCUUUGUUUGUUGUGCCUUGGUUGGUUCGAAUUAUGCAUCAAUACCUGUACUGUGCGUGUUAAUAAUAACAGAACCAUCAUAUUUCCAAUAUAAACUUGCAAGAUUUGCAUGUUUUUCUUGUUAAAAUUGUUCCAAUUUUGAGGGUUUAAUUCUGUUAUUGAUGUUAUCAAGAAAUGUUUUGUAUAAUGCUUGUUGAUUAUGGUAUUAGGAGCAAUGGGUGGUGGUUUCUUCGAGGCUAGGGUUCUCGAUAUUCUUGCAUUGAAGAACAAUAUGUGUGUGUGUUUUGAACCUAUAUAAUUUCUCAAAGUGGCCAUGAUCAACUGAUCAUGUAUUCAUGUAACUUUUGUUUUCAAUCUGCUUUGCAGGACAUAGUGAUGAUCGAGGGGGGCAUCUUCAAAGAUGUUGAGAAUGUGGAUGUUGCUGACCCAGCACAUAAUCGAAUGGAUCCUACUAACAAGGCUGCCGAUGUUGACUGUAGCAUUUGCAAGAGCAUUUUGGGUUGUAAAUAUAUUGAAGUGCCAGAGGAAACCGAUGUGGUUAAGACUGGAAGAUUCCUACUGCAUAUGAACAAGUUCCUGAUAUGGGAUGGAAGCAACAUGCUGUUCGCAGAUACACUGACGGUUACAUUCCAUCGAACUCCAAAUGCCCUUUUUCUCCUCUGCCGUCGAUGCAAUACCCACCUUUGCCUUGGCUGAUCGUUUUAUGCGCCUCAUCGUAUGGCAACUUUAAUCAUGUGCUUUGAAGUGUCGACGUGGAUGUCUCCAAAGUACAUUAUCGAAUGGAGCGUACUAACAUGGUUACUGAUGUCUACUAUAACGGUUGCAAGAAGUUUUUGGGUUUUAAAUUUGUUUUAGUGCCAGUGGAAACCAGGUAGUAAAGACCUGAAGAUUCCUA